GCCAAUGGUGUGCGUUGCCGUUCUAUUUAGUCUGGAGUAGCCUUAUGUUGGCAGACGCCGUGAUUGGUCUCCAUGUGACUUCCUGUUUUGCCCCUCCAGUCGACUUUCUACCGCGCUUUCAUCUGUUGCUUGGCGGUGUUCGGUCUGGGUUAGUGGUUUUGGUGCUGGUUGUCAAUGUCCGUGGAUUGUAGAGGCAAACAUUCAGCGGAGCUUCGUGAGCUCGCCGCUGACUAAGUGGGAAGCUGUCAACUUCCUGGUACUUCGGGUCGUAUCUGUGUCUCCUGCUGUUUUUGCCAUAUUCGUUGCUUACACCGAGGCGAUAUCUGCCCUGACCGGGCCACUACUCUGAAGAUAACGGCGAAGACGUCGGCAACCACAGUUCGCUACAAAUGUUGUCUUGUCCGUGUGUGUUGUAACUUGUCGGUGUCAUUACGAACGCAUGUCUGUGAGUGGAUUUAUGUGUACGUGUGUGUGCGCGAGUGUAUUUGUGCCCUGGGGAAAACGUGGGUAGCUUCAGGAAUCUGGCUUAAUGUUUUGCCUUAGCCUUGUAUUACCUACAUGUUAAACCCCUGGCAGGAGGCCCGUCAUAGCUGUGGAUAGCCAGUAGGCCAUCACGUAUGUAACCAUUGAAGCCUGAUUUAUGUCUGUCUGUUGGUUUUCUUUGUUCUUUAUUUUCUCUACUUGUAUGUUGGUCAUUGUCUUGUUCUCUUUUGAUUUAUGUUUUUGACACUGGUGGGAGGCCUUCUGUAACUGCUGUAGAUCGCUAGUGAUCCCAUUGCAGGCCACCCUUUGUCCUUAUAUUUUGGUUUUCUUUCUUUUUGUUUCUUUUGAUUUGCUGCAUGCUGUGCGUUGGAUACUAGCACUGGUGGGAGGCCAUCUUGAAUUUGCUGCGGAUCAUCAGUGGUCCGCUUAGCCGCCCAAUACAUCUAUCCUUCUGGCAUUGUGUCUGCGUGUGGGUCGUGCAUGUGUCUGUUGUGCAUGUGUUUGUUGUGCAUGUGUUUGUGGUACAUGUGUUUGUUGUGCAUGUGUUUGUUGUGCAUGAGUUCGUGGUGCAUGUGGUUGUGCAUGUGUUGGUUGUGCAUGUGUUGGCUGUGCGUGUAUGGUUGUCUGGUUUUCACCUCUUCUCUGUUCUUAGGUGCUGAGUGCUCCAGGCAGGGAGGCAGUUACAUCCUCUAGGGGGAGGUGUCCCCUUUUCCUUUGUGCGUGUGGUUCACGUGUGCCCCUUGAAUGGGAUUUCUACUUAUUUUUGCUAUUGUGCUAUAUCUUGUUUUUUUGAGGUGUGUAUGUGCAAGCACGAGUGCCUGGCUGGUGUUUUUGGGAUCCAUCUCCUGGCAAUUCGCCCCCUGCUGGUAAGCCUCAGCCCUGAUAAACUUGUCUACGCUCCUCUCCCAUGGUAUGAUUGAAACUUGUCUUGUUUGUUGUCUUGUAUGUUUGACAUUUUUAUCCUUGUAAUAAAGACAACCUAUUAUUGGAA